AGCCUACCAAUUUGUAAGUCGCUCUGGAUAAGAGCGUCUGCUAAAUGACUAAAA
rfam:Salmo salar isolate Sally breed double haploid chromosome ssa21, whole genome shotgun sequence.